AUCCAUUUGACGAGUCCCAAAUAGAACGAAACACACGCCCUGGAU
rnacentral:hammerhead_ribozyme from 1 species